UGACAGCGACGCACACACCACUGGAUCAUUAAGCACAAACCAGGCACAACAGUGCCAUAUCACCCCCAGUUCAUUAGCUCAGUGGUGGCUGAGUCAGACUGAGGGACACAUUCCCAUCUGGGCAACCUUCUGGAGGCCACCUGGCAACGGUGGAUGGGCCUGGACACACACACAUGCCUGUUUCUAUCUAUCCAGCCCACCAAGAGGCAUUCUCAGAGUUCAAGGAUACAUCCUGGCGAAGCAGAAGCGCUCAAGGUGGGUAUGAAGUUGAGCUGGGCUGGGGUGUGGACUGGGGACAAUCCCAAGGGCAAGAUCCAGAGGCUUGGAGGGACACAUCCAGUCUCUGAUGCAGUGGUGUAGCGUGGGUUUCCAGCACCCAGGGCAAAGCUAGUAUCCUCAGCACUGCCCGCCAAUAGGCUGGAACGAAGCAGCAAUAGCUCAGUGAACUACACAAGUGGCAGCAGUGGCACCCCAUGAGCAUUGUGCAUGGCGGAGAGUGGGAUGGUGGAUUGAUCAGGAGUGGGUAUCUUUCUAAAGCCCAUGUAGAGGGUGCCCUCGCAACCAACCAUUGCCCAAAUCAACUCCUUAGUCUGCCCAUGUGAACGUUGGAAGAUUUUCUAUGUGAUGGGGAAGGCGCACUAUUUUUUUAAUUUAUUAUUACUACUUUCUUCUUCUUUUCUUUUGAAUUUUUGAACCCCUAAGAAUUUCGAGCCUGGGACACCCGCCCCUGUGAUCCUGCCCAUGUUACGCCACUGCCCUGGCGCCUGAGGUCUCCCAUGCCUGCAAUGAUCCUGGUGGCAAAACCACCCAGUAUGCCCAGAAUUAGGGCCCCCUGCAGCUGAGGUUUUAAUAUACAUUGUUAGCACAGAAGAUACUUUUGAAACAUGGCUACAAACAAUGAAUUGCCACAGUUGAAUUCUAGUAUUUUAGUUUGUUGCACUGUUUCCACCCUUCAUGUCUCCCAUUCCCCAGUUAAAGUCAGUGGAGGCACUCUCAAUCCAGCGCCUGUGAAAGCCUUCAUUGAUGCCCCUGAACAGAGGCACCGGAUUUCAUGUUUUUAAAAUAAAGAGUAAGUCUCUAGCCCUUCUAGAAAACAAAUUAUGAAGCACAGUGUGAAGAUACCCUUCUAAAUAAUUUCUGUCACAUGAGCAAGCCUGGCUGCGCCCGCCUAUCUGUGGUUUUAGCCAAUGAGUGAAGUUAGAACUUUGAUUGAUAAGUGAGUUGUUUGGACACCAGGCAAUAGGAAUCCCUGCGGUCCUAGCAGGGCCAAAUUCAUGAUGUAGUGAUUACACCAGGACCCAUGCCAAACUCUGAGCUUUCAUUUCAAAAAAGGAAAUCUCUAGGUUCCAAAAGGUUCCCAAACUUAUUUGGCCUACUGCCUCCUUUUCAGGAAAAAAAUAUCCAGUGCUCCCCUAGAAAUCUAUCUUCUUUAAGCCGGCCGGCUCAGUCCGAUCCACCCCACGGGUAGUGCCAGUGCUGCUGCCUGCCUGCCACUGGCCAGACAGGCAGGCUAGUUGCAAUCCACUUCCCAGGCCUGGUUGAAGCUGAAAAGGGUUCACACCAAGCCUGGGGAAAGUCCUCACCUACAGCAUGACCGCUGGAUCCCGGGGAGGCGUUGUCUCCAUCCUGCAACUGCUCCCGGCCUGGCAGUAAGGGUCAUUACACAACAGAUGAAACAUGUACGGAUGGUGUUUUUUUAAAAAAAAUCUUUUCUUCUCUUUCUUUAUGCUUCCGCUGCCCCCUUAUUUUUAUUCAAUGCUCCCUAAUUCUACCCAAGACUACUACCACCACCCUGGAUUAUUUCAGCCAGCCCCACCACCCCCUACCCCCCACGGCAGUAUAACCCAGUUUGGGAAACACUGCUCUACAUCUUCUAGAAAGAUUGCAUAACAUGCAGGCAAUUUUUUAAGCCAGGGUUCGCCAACCCGAAGCAAGCAAAGGGCAUAGCUGUCAACUUUCAGAUUUGAAAAUAAGGGAUCAGCAGCCUCACCUGUCCCGGGGACAGUCUACGGGAUAGCUAACAAUCCAGGAUAGCAGCGGGAAGCAGCGGGAAACAGCGCUGGAAUAAGGGAAUUUCCCGCAAAAAAAAAGGGAAGGUUGGCUGCUAUGGCAGAGGGAUGGGUAUAAUGUGGGGUUUUUUGGUGCUGCAGCCCAGAGCAAUUGUUGGUGGAGAAGAAGAAGAAGAGUUUGGAUUUGAUAUCCCGCCUUUCACUCCCUUUAAGGAGUCUCAACGCGGCUCACAUUCUCCUUUCCCUUCCUCCCCCACAACAAACACUCUGUGAGGUGAGUGGGGCUGAGAGACUUCACAGAAGUGUGACUGGCCCAAGGUCACCCAGCAGCUGCAUGUGGAGGAGCGGAGACGCGAACCCGGUUCCCCAGAUUACGAGACUACCGCUCUUAACCACUACACCACACUGGCUCUCUAGGUGGAAGGGCUCACCCACUUGCAACUCCAUUUAGCUAUGAUGUUAAUUCCUCUGCUCCUUUCUGGAGGGAAGGAUUUGCCUGGGUGGCUGGCAUGGGACAAAGAUGGCGAGGAGAGGAGAGGAGAGGAGAGGAGAGGAGAGGAGAGGAGAGGAGAGGAGAGGAGAGUUGCCCCACAUUUUGGUUUUUGGAGGAUAUUGGUGGGAUGGGAAGUGCCAACGCCAUUCCACCUUCUGUGCCUUGGCUGCCCAUAGAGGGGCUUUUUAAAAACAGGAGGAAGCAAAGAAGUGCUGUGCCCAUUUGAGAACUCCACUCUCGCUGGCCAAAUGGAAGUGGUGAGCAAGGCACUGAGCCUAUAGCUGUCCACAUCCUGCAAGUUUAAAGCUGCAAAUCAUGUGCCCUUUGAAAGAUGAGGUUGGAUCUGCUGGGAGUGCGGCUGUUGCAACUUGGUAUAGCUUGUGAACUUGGCGAGCCCCCGCCUCUGGGAUCGAAAAUGGGAUGGAAGCCGCUGGCACCCUUGAAGAUGAUGAAGUAUCUCGAAUAGCCUCGUUUGCUUGUCUGAGAGCACCUUUUAUUCUUCCGUGUGUCACUUGUGAAUGUUGUUGUGGCAAUACAGAAAAGUGGAAGAGAGUCAUUUUUAAAUCGAAAAGCACAUUCUAGUCAACAUAGUUUUUUUCAAUCAAUUAUAUAUAUACAGAGAGAAAGCAUGGAGUCAUUCUGGAGUGUUAGAGGCCAUCUACAGCACAGAGUGUUUUUCUAUGUAUGCUGUUUAUCUAUUUUGGAUUUUUCAUUGUUUGAUUAGCUCAUUCCUUUGACAGUGUAAACUGCCCUUGGGAUAUUUUGGAGGGCAAUAGUUAAAUGCCUAAAAUAAAAUCAAUAAAGUAUUUCUAAAAUAAAUUAACAGGUUCCAAAGAUAUAUAUGCUACUAAUGAUGUGCUUCAGCACUCACCAGGGAUACGCAAACAUGUUGGCUUCAGUGUCUUAUUUUUCUAGUCCUAAAUUCACUUCUCCACAUUUCCGCAUCAAUUUGUGGAUUUUGUUUUGAGAGUCCUCAUGAAAAUUCAUCAGUACACAGUGUGAAUUUCUGCUGAUACGCACAUUUUUGUAUGCAGUUUUGCCUAAUAUAAACUUUUUGCAAAGCAAUUUCCCCACAUGCAUUAUAAUACGAUCCUGAUACAGUGCUGCCACUAGAAGGUUAUCUCUUCCAAACAGCCAGCUUCUGCUGGGUCAGGAAAUGUACCCUGUCAAGUCAGCCAUUAACUGCUACUCCAUCUUCUUCCAGAGUUUGCCUUGAAUCUGGGGCUCCUUCUAAAAUCUCCCCUUCAGUUCCUUCCUGAGCCCAGAAGUUGCUGCUCUGGGUCCUUCUAGUUUCCUGCCAUCUUGCUUUGCACAAAUUAAUUUUCCCAUGCUGCCACUGGGUAGGCCUCCCAUCCAGGGUAGAUUCCUUCUCACCAAGUGGGUUCCUACUGGAGAACAGCAACACCAUGUACCAUGAACUCAGCCCAGAGUAGACCCGGCAUAACAUGAUUACAAGAGCUAGCAUUUGCCUCCAGGAUGAAGGCCCAGACUAUGUGUGACACAAUCUGAUAUCACAUGCUGCCAAGACCUCCAGUAGGACUGGGAGCACAGUGUACAAUAUGGUAGAGUUAACUCUUUCCUUUGGCACUGAAGAGUCCGUGAAAAAUGAACCCUCGCUCUUAUCUAGGGAUGUAAGUAGACAGCAAUUUCCACUCCAAGCCGUGUAAUCAGCGCUGUUUCCAUUCUGAUGCAGUUCCGUUUCCACCAAACACCACCUUUUAUGUCUUGCUGUCUACUGUAGCAGCAUUCUUUGGUCAUUUCUGCCAUAUUUCUGUUGUGUUUCUUGGCACUGAUGCAGCUCAACGAUGCAGAAAUCAGGACUGGACUCCCCACCCAUCAGCUGAUCCCACAUAGUGGGUUGCAUGUGAAUGCAAUGUAAAGGAAACGUCAAAACUAUUCUAAAAACAAUGUUAUUAAAGACAUAGUUUGUGAGAGUUCAUUUUUAAAAAAACUCAACCUUGUGAUUUUCAUUUCUAAUAAGAAUGCACACUGCAGCAAUUUCUACUUCCAUGUCCAUUAAGAGCUGAGUUUUCCAGCAACCUUGGUCCAAACAUACUGUAGUAUGCUACCCCAAUCUGCAGGUGGUUCAAGUUUCCUGGGGUUCCAGGCACGAACACAGGGUUUGUGUUUCCUUUCAGGAAUGAGGCACAGCAGAGACUGUGGUGUCUUUAUGACACAUGAUUUCUUUACACCUAUAUACAACCUGAAGCCACAGUGGUGGGGUUCACAUCAACCCCCAAAGGGGUAUGUCCCUUAAUGGCUCAUCACCCAGGCUAUCACCUCACCAGGAGGCUAGCCUGGCUAUUCCAAGAAUUAGAUUCCCCGAUUAAAUUCUAACACUCACUGGAUCCAGGGAUUAAAGGUGUCUGGUACCCAGGUUAACACCCCAAACUCAUAACAGUACUAUUGGCUGUGGGAAGAUUCCAUUCAUGGCCACUGGAGCUUCCCUCUUGGGGCAGAGCAAAGUGCCUCGGGUACUUAAUUUGUUCCGGAGGUCCAUUCUUAACCUGAAACUGUUCUUAACCUAAAGCACCACUUUAGCUAAUGGGGCCUCCUGCUGCCGCUGCGCGAUUUCUGUUCUCAUCCUGAAGCAAAGUUCUUAACCUGAGGUACUAUUUCUGGGUUAGCGGAGUCUGUAACCUGAAGCGUCUGUAACCUGAAGCGUCUGUAACUCGAGGUACCACUGUAUGUGACUUUCGUCAGGUCUGCGGCAUAGCUAGAAAGGGCUGACCCUCCCUGUAGUCCUUAUUGUCCCCUGCCCCCAGCAGAUGCCAGUGUUUAGGGGUUUUGUGUGUUUUUUAAAAAAAACAACUAUAUGAAAUGUCAAAUAAUACAUUUAAUGUCAUAUAUAAUUUAACCCUGAUUUUAGCAGGUAAAGGAAGACAAGGCUAGAUCUUACCCAAUGGCCUUUCACAACCUAGAGGCGAGCUCAGGGCAAACUAAUAGCCUGGCACUGACUUAAGUGCAUAAGGUCAUGCUUGUUUAUCAUAGAGAGGCAACCUCCAUCUACAAGCUCCUUCUCAGAUUACUUUUUUAUUUACAUGGGAAGGAAGACCCAUGCUGGAGAAGGCAGGAAGAUCGCGCCUGCUGUAACUCGAGAAUUUGGAUAAGAUUCUCAACAAGAACAGGGUGAGCUAAUGAAGAUGCCUGUGUGGUAGUUCUGAGGAAGGAAAAACAGGCAUAUUGAAUCACAAUCUGCUUCCUGGAAAACACCCUCAUCUGGAUAGGUCUUAGGGUGGCGGUUGUCAAAACUGUGCUCUUAUGAACCCUGAGACUUCUCAGAAGCUUAUCAGGCAUUCCACAAUAAGUAGUUCAGUAAUAAGAGACAAAUUUCCCUGCCCUUAUAGAUCUUCCGAUGCAGUUGUUGAAUUUCCACCUUCAUCUUCAUGGAGAAAAGGCAGUAUAUAAAUAAAUAUAAAUUAAAUAUACAAAAGUGAGUAGGUGGACCUGAGCAGCUGGCUAACACCCUACUGUAUUCUAAGUCUCCUCCCAGACCACCCAGAAAAACAGAUACAGACAGGAAAAAAGGUGAAGCAGGUAUCUGUUCAAAGUCAAAGUGGGGAACCUGUAAAAAGGUAAAGGGACCCCUGACCAUUAGGUCAAGUCGUGACCGACUCUGGGGUUGCGGCACUCAUCUCGCUUUAGCCUCCAUAUAUUGUUGUUCUCCAAUCCCCGUCAGCCCCAACCAACAUGGCCAAUAGCCAAUGGUGAGGGAUGAUGGGGGUUGUAGUCCAGCAACAUCUGGGGGGCCACAGGUUCCCCAUCCCUGGCCUGAACACCAACCCACUGAGACUAUCUUGACCUUCAUCCAGUGAUGAGUAAUCAGGGAUGGGAAAGAUAGGAAUAGGGCUGAAUCUAAGUGUUCCAUCUCCUGCUAUCCUUUUGUUUUCUUCUCAUGAUUAAACCUUUUGAUCUUAAAUAGGACCUGGACGACCUGACAGCAUCCAAUCUGCUGACUAGAGUGAAGGCUCCACUAAACUGUUGACCCAAAAGCAACGUAUGCUUGAGGUCCUCCUCUAAACUGCGGAGCCACCCACACUCCAUAAUGCUGGUGUAAUCAAAAUUCUCAGACUUCAGGAAAAAUAUUAGGCUCCUCCACACUUCUCUUUGGCCUGUCACUUUCCUCUGGGGAAACCCACGGAAUCAAAAGAAAUCAGAAGGAACAGCAAUUGGUUUUUUUGAGGAUUGCCGUUUGUUCUUAUUUAGCGCUAAAGUGUGGGUUUUCCAGGGAAUCGCAGAGGGGCAAAGGCAAAACGACUUGGACCCAUGUCUAGAAAGCACAGGACAAGUGAAAAACCAUUUGACCCCAUGCUUUCUAGGAAUGGGACAAGUACAAAUGUGAACAAGCCCACAGUUAUGCCAUUGUGCAGGUGCCUGACGAUCGUCUUCCAAAGCAACUACUCUAUUCCGAGCUUAAAAAUGGAAAGCAUAAUGCUGGUGGUCAACAAAAGAGGUUUAAAGACUGUCUCAAGGCAAAUCUUUAAAAAUGUGGUAUAAACACUGACAACUGGGAAACACUGGCCUGCGAGCGCUCCAGUUGGAGAACAGCCAUUACCAAAGGUGUCACGGGCUUUGAAGACACUCAAACUCAGGACACAAGGGAGUAACGUGCUAAGAGGAAGGCACGCUUGGCAAAUCCACACCGUGAUCAACUCCCACCCGGAAACCAACGUCCCCACUGUGGAAGGACGUGUGGAUCCAGAAUUGGCCUCCACAGUCACUUACGGACUCAUUGUUAAAACUGUGUUUAUGAAAGACAAUCUUACUCGGCUACGAGUGAUCGCCAAAGAGGAAGAUUACUGCCCAUUGUUUGUUCUUAAAUUCUUGAUUAGUUCUGUAACUCCAAAAUCCACCACAGUUCUUUCUAAUGGAUCCACCACAAGGAUCAUGCAUUUUUAUAAAAUCUGCACUGUUAAACUAUUUUAAUAAUUUCACACCUCUCACCAUUUAAAUUGUCCUAGUUUUUAAAUGCCUAUUAUAAGGAUACAUGCCUACUCAGAGAAGUGUCUACUGACUUAUGUCGAAGUAAAUGGGCAGAGUGCUACAGCCACUCAGAAAACACUCAGUUAAGGAUAAAGCAAGAAUGAAGACAGUGGGAGUAACAUCUGAAUAAACAGGCAUAUGACUUCACUGCAAGGCAACAACUAGGCACCACACAGCCUGAUCCAACCUGGGCCAUAACAAAUCUCGGCAAAGCUGGGAGUUGAAGGGGAGAUUCAAUGCACAGUAUGAGUGGGUAGGAGGGGGCAACUGGACCCUUCCUCAUGCCUAUGCUUUCUGCCCUUCCCUAGAACCAUUUUAAAGCCAUUGAUUGAUUGAUUGAUUGAUCACAGAAAGGUAGCAGGAGCCUGGAUAGCUCAGUUGGUUAGAGCAUGAUGCUGAUAACAUCAAGUUGGCAGGUUCGAUCUCUGUAUAGGACAGCUGCAUAUUCCUGCAUUGCAGGGGGCUGGACUAGAUCAGGGGUAGGCAACCUAAGGCCCGGGGUCUGGAUGUGGCCCAAUUGCCUUCUCAAUCUGGCCCACAGACGGUCCAGGAAAUCAGUGUGUUUUUACAUGAGUAGAAAGUGUGCUUUUAUUUAAAAUGCAUUUCUGGGUUAUUUGUGGAGCAUAGGAAUUCAUUCAUCCCCCCCCAAAAAAAAAUAUAGUCCAACCCCCCACAAGGUCUGAGGGACAGUGGACCGGCCGGCCCCCUGCUGAAAAAAAUCCUUCAACUGUUCCUCAUAAGACUUGGCUUACAGACCCUGGAUCAACUUGGUCGCCCUCCUCUGAAACAUUAUCCAGCUUGUUAAUAUCCUUCCAAGAACUGGACACAGUAUUCCAGGUAAGGCCUGACCAAGGCAGAAUAGAGUGGUACUAUUACUUCCCUUGAUCUGGACACUACUGAUGCAGCCUAGAAUAGCAUUAGCUUCUCUUUUUUUGCUGGUGAAUCACACCAUUGACUCAUGUUAAGCUUCUGGCCCACCACACGGUCCACACAGCCCACAGCUGAAAAGGGUUGCUGACCCCUGGACUAGAUGAUCCUCAGGGUCCCUUCCAACUCUACAAUUCUAUGAACCCUACUAGGGGAGAAACCCAAAACCAUAAAAAGCCAGCCCAUCUGAGAAGGGCUGUAGUUCAUUGGUAGAGUACCUACUUUGCAUGGUCCCAGGUUCAGUCCCUGGCAACUCCAGGCAGGGCUGGAAUAGAACUUGCUCUGAAAUCCUGGAGAGCCCUGGCCCAAAGAUGGAAAGACGACAAGACACCAACAAAAGAAGAAUGGCAAGAAAAGCGGGCGGAAUAUGCCGAAAUGGUGAAACUAACUGGAAAACUAAGAGAUUAGGACAACGGAGACUUUUAAAAGUACUGGGAAUUGUACAUGUUGUAUUUACAGAAAUAUUGUAAAGAAGUGGACUCACUAGCAGGAUUUGAGUAAACAUUUACAAUCAAGAAAACAAGACAAAAGCUAAGAUGCAACAUUUGGGGAAACAAUAAAAUGUAAGAUGUGAUUUGGGAAGUAUGGUACAAAAAAUGAUAAGAAUGUAAUAAUAUUCAGGUGAAAGAUUAUAAAAUCAAAGUAGAAUAAAACAGGCAGGAGAAAUAAAUAUUUAACGAACCAGAAGGGGAAGUUGAGGGAAGUCAGUCAGGGGACUGGGGCUUAUACAUGUUUUUUGUGAUAAUGGUGAUUGUGUGGAAUAUAAAAUUGUAAAAUUCAAUACAAAUUAUUAUUUAAAAAAAAAAAAAUGAAACCCUGGAGAGCCACUUCCAGUCAGUGUAGACAAUGCUGAGGUAGAUAGAACAAUGAGCUGGCUCUGUACAAGGCAGUUUUCUAAGUUUCAUGUUGUGCUUGAAGUUUCCCAUCUCACUCCAUCCCCGUCUUCCAUUUUGCUGGGAUUAAUUGGCAGUGAACUUCACACACACCACACACACACACACACACACCACAGGAGCAGGGUCGGCUGCUGUCAUAUCCAAUUUACCCCAGAGGGCCAUUUCGCAUAUCGUACAAAAGACAGAUCCUCCUAGUCCUCUUCCACAGCACUGUGGCUGUACUGUAUCUGUUAUGUAUGUACGAAGAUUCAUGGUUUUUCCCUGUAAUAUGUACUGCAUCAAAGUUACAGAUCUGAGAUUGUUUCCAUAGCUCUAUAGACCAGGGGCAGUCAAUGUGGCAUGAUCCUGUUCUUUGUCUCUAUAUCAUACAUCUAGCAUGGGGUGUACUUACAGUAUUUUUUGCUCUAUAAGACUCACUUUUUCCCUCCUAAAAAGCAAGGGGAAAUGUGUGUGCGUCUUAUGGAGCGAAUGCAGGCUGCGCAGCUAUCCCAGAAGCCAGAACAGCAAGAGGGAUUGCUGCUUUCACUGCGCAGCGAUCCCUCUUGCUGUUCUGGCUUCUGAGAUUCAGAAUAUUUUUGUUUUCCUCCUCCAAAAACUAGGUGCGUCUUGUGGUCUGGUGCGUCUUAUGGAGUGAAAAAUACAGUAUUUAAAAUAUCUGCGGCACAACUUCCUAUCCAUCAAGGACCCUGCAGCAGCAGUUAACAUCAACAGCAAGACACUGUUUCAAAAAUGCACAGUGCAGUGACAAACGACAUCACACACUAGGUGUUGGCUGCAUUUGGACAUAAUGACAAACAGUGUUGGCUGGUGCCUGUUGAAACUGGCAGGGCGGAAGGUAGGAGGCCACCAGUAGGUGGAGCCAGAGCCAGCGACAGGUGGACUAAUUAAUUCUAGUUGUGUUCCCAGCUUCCUCCUUCCUGAGUUGUACAAAGGCAACACUGAGACUAAGGAGGAGGAGGAAGGUGACAGCCAGAGCCACCCCUCUGAUUUGGUUUAAGAAGGCAGGUUGGUAGUGACUGGUCGAGGGUAGACAGAGGUUGCUGGGGCAGUGCCCCAUUUUGCCCUAAUGGAUCAGCCCCCCGUGACUACAGGUGGGGGAGAGGUUCCAUUUGGUUUGCAUUUAAGGCCAAAUUCAUCAAAUUUGCACCUUCUGAAGCAAUGUGAAAUCCGAAACUCAACCAUCCUUAAAAAUUCGCACGUAUCUGAAAUUUGUGAUGUACUUCUCUAACCGACCUAUGCUUGCAAAAAUGCAUAUAUUUAGGGGAAAUAAAAAUGAACACACUAGUGAAAAGGACAUGGGGGGGGACAUUAUAGCAGGAUACAUUGCUUACAAAAAUGUGUACAUUAGUUGAAACUGCAUACAAAAAUGUGUUCUUCAGGAGAAAUCUGCACUUAAAUGAGGAAAGAUUUCCAUGAGGGUGUUCUUUUAAAAAUGAAAAUCCCAAAUUGCUGCAGAAAUAUGGAGAACUGAAUUUAAGAGUCAGAAAAAAUGACAAAACUGAGAAAACCAAAAUUGAUCGAUCCUCCCAUCCCUAACUGUGACCAACCAUGGUUUACUGUUGUGUGAAAUGCGGAGGGCCAGCUUUAGUUUUGAGGUGGCCCCAGCAAAGGGAUCUCUAGUGGAUCGUCUCCUACAUUUGUGUGGCCUGAGCAGAGUAGGAAUGCUCUGAAUCAGGACUGGGCAGAGGAGAACCACUGUGCUGGUCCCGGGGGGAAGGUUACCGUUGGCGUAGUCAAAGUCCGGUCCUGGGUCACUGGUCUGGAAACAGUUCACAAGGAGCGAGGUGAGGUCCGAAGCAGGAAGCCGGGCGGGGACAGGAACACUGGGGGAACAGGACUGGAUGCUGGCCGAAACAGCUCAUCAACGAUGUUGCUCCCGCAACCUGGGACCGGGCUGACUGGCCUUUAUCUUCUCUGAGGCCAGGGGCGGUCCCGGCCCCCAGGAGACCCGCCUCUCCUGGCCUUAAGGCGAGCACUCCUCCUGGGAGAAACCAGUUCCCUUCGCCUCUCUGCCCUGAGCCUCUGCAGUUCAGGAGAGGCUGAAGGGUUACUGGACCCAGGGGAGACUCACCUGUAGGCACUGAGUCCUCAACCACCUCCGGAGCCAGAGUGGAUUCACCUGGUGCCUGCUCCUGAGGAUCCGGCACAGGUGCAGGCGCUUCAGAAUCAAGGCCCUGCCCCAGUUCAGCCGGCCCUGGAGGUGGGGACUCCUGUGCAGGCUGGGAUUCCUCCGGUUCAGCCUCUGAAUCGGAUUCCCAGGCCAUCACAACCACCAUGUUAAUUUCCUACAAUUACCCCUAUGAUAUCUCAUAAUUCUGGAGCAUUGCCAAACAUUUAGGAGCAUAGGAAACUGCUUUAUAACGAAUUAUAUCAGUGGUCAGUAUUUGUUAGAAUUCCUGCUCUGUGAUUGCAGUCAUGGGAUUGUUGACUAUCACAUGACGGUGUAUGUUUUGACUCUACAAAGUGGGAAGUGACGGAAACAGGAUGUUUGUGAGGCUUGACAACCAUAUGUCAGGGCUUGACAACCAUAGGUCAGGAGUGCUCUGAUGGUGUUUCCUGCUUGGCAGGGGGUUGGACUCGAUGGCCCUUGUGGUCUCUUCCAACUCUAUGAUUCUAUGAUUCUAUGAUUCUGUGUUCCGUGAAGUGGGGCUAUUGUCCUUUGUCCUUUUUCUAUUUGCUGUCUGAUGCUAGAGAGAGAGAGGGAGCCAUAUUGCAGUGCUCCGUGUGUGUUUAUAUGUAAAUAAAGUAGAUUAGCCAAAAUGCUGAGUUGCUGAGGUCUGUUACGCAAGCUGCGAAGACUCUGCAGAUCCCUAAGUGUGCUGAUGUUUGUUGUCAUCGGUCGCUGUGAUGUUCCGGCAGAAGACAGCUUUUGAAGCUCCCAAACGAUCGACCAGGAGGGAGAGAACAUGCCAGUCGGGCAUGUGUCUCUACCAGGGUCCUACUCGAGUGUAGGCCAAGCUCCUGACAGUAUUGUCAACACAGACUGUUCUCCAGAAUUGCAGAUGAAGUUCUCUCCCAGCCUGACCUGGAGAUACCAGGGAUUGAAACCUGGGCAUUCUGACUGAAAAGCAUGCGUGUUACCCCUGAGCUACAGCCUCCCCAUCUGCAGUUCCCAGAAUCAGCUGUUCGCUUGUUUUUUAAAGGAAGGCCAAAGCAGGUAUAGGUAACAGCCCCAUCAGCUGCCCAAGGAUGCUGUAUGCUGAUGUUACGCAUGAGAAUGGGCCAUGCAUGUGCGGGGAAGAGAUUAGAAGCUUCCACUUCACAUUUCCAUUUGGCCAACUUGACCGAAGGCAGCAAACAUUGCACUGUGAAAGCAACACAUCGCAAACCAUGAUCCUGCACGAAACGCAGCAUUUGGAUGAAGCAGCAGGCAAUGGUUUGCCACAGAUCUGAAGUGGGAGCUUCUGACUCGAUUGUGAAGGAAAGGACAUGCAAACGUGUGGCCUGCCACGGCUCCAAACCAUCAUUUACAGGAUUGUCUGGACUGAGCCACUAUAAGGAAGCAGUGUGGAAGGGGCACAGAACACCUGCAGGAGCUCUCUGUGGCUUCUGCAACAUCAAUUUCCACCCUUGAUCAUCUUCCACUAUCCCUCUUUUCUCUCUGCAUUCUAUUUGCUUUUCACAUUUGCCUUUUUAUGUUGGUAAGUCUGUUGACAACUCUUUUGGCUCUAAAAAUCGUCAUCAUGUUUGUUUGUUUUUGCAGAAUGCCUCAUGUCAGCUAGGUGCCUUGUUAAAAAGGUAAAGGUAAAGGACCCCUGACAGUUAAGUCCAGUCUUAGACAACUCUGGGGUUGUGGUGCUCAUCUCGCUUUACAGGCCGAGGGUACCAGCGUUUGUCCACAGACAGUUUUUCCGGGUCAUGUGGCCAGCAUGACUAAGCCGCUUCUGGUGAAACCAGAGCAACGCACAGACACGCCAUUUACCUUCCCGCCGGAGAGGUACCUAUUUAUCUACUUGCACUUGGACAAGCUUUCGAACUGCUAGGUUGGCAGAAGCCGGGACCGAGCAACGGGAGCUCACCCCUUCGCGGGGAUUCGAACCACUGACCUUCUGAUUGGCAAGCCCAAGAGGCUCAGUGGUUUAGACUACAGCACCAUUAAAAAGGCAUUUGAGAUGGUGGCUGAGGAUCGUGGGUCUGUGCAGCACAAUUGUCAGCUAAUUUAGGCAGCUUCCAGACCAGGGGGUUAGUAGUUGAACACAGGUUGUUAAGGUGUUGCAAAUGGGCCAUUGGCAAUAGGUUUGGAUGUUUGUUUCAUUAACCAAUCAGAUUUUCCCUGGAAGGAGAGGGAAAAUCCAGAUUAAAUGGGGAAGGGGUGGGGAUACAGGCUAGCAGUUUGAUGGCAAGGGCAUCAUGGGGAUACUGGGGGCGGGGGGAAGCCAGGAUCCCACAAUAAACCCCUGUCGGGAAGCACCCUCAGUCAAGGUCAGAUUGCUCCGACACCAGCAGGCUUUUGGGGGUGGUCGUGGGGGUCUUUUUAGCCGUCUAUAGAUUGUGAACAAGUCAUGGCAAACCUCAAGGCUUCCCUCUCCUUCACACAUGAAGGGAGGAGAUUUGAAGCUUCCACCUCCAAUUUGCUGCCGACCGUUGUAUGUGGCAGAAGCAGAGAAAAAUAAGUGGAUUUUUCCAACCUUGUCUCCCUCGGCUGUUUUUUGCCACAAUUCUUGAUGUGCUAGAGACCCCUGCUGGCCACGAGGAGCAAAAACUCCCCACCCCACCCGGCUCCCCGGUUCACAUUCCCUAUAAAUGACAAACAAAAUCCUCCUUCUCUCUGAGAGGAAUCUGGAGGCACUGGAGGGUUUUGUGUGGAGGGUUCAUAGCAAGCAGUGCUUCAGCGGCUCCUUAUUUAUGUUGUUCAACAAAAAGAGAGCUGCUGUCAGUUAAAUGGAGCAUAGACAAUGCAUUCAGGAGAAGCUGGAAAAAGAAAAAAGCCUGCUCUUUUCACUGCCGCAGAAUCCACCAUUUUCCAUGGAUAUGUCCUGAGAUUGUCCUGCGUGGGGUGGAGGAGAGAGACUUCCUGCUGCUGGUGGGGUUGUUAGUCACACUCCCAUUUUCCAAUAACAGGAUUAAAACGGAAAGGGUGAUCUAGUUCAGUUUGUGGCUCUGCUACCAUGUGGGUGAUAAUCCAAAGCAAGACCAGCUGGGAAAUUCAGCCAUGAGGUGCUGGCUGACAACCAGCCAACAGGCUACACAAGUCAACAAAUUAUUUACUUGAAUGACAUACAGGAGGAGCUUGGCAACAAGGGGUUGGAUCCGACGUUAGUUAGACUCAGAGCAGAGCCGCUGAAAUUAAUGGACAUAACUAACACAUAGGCUGCAAUCCUGCAUUCACUUACCUAGGAGCAAGGAUGGAAGAAUCUGCCAAUUUCUGCUUCUCUCGGGUUCUCGCUGCUCCCAUUCCGUUCUCCCCAUUUUCACGGCAAUUUGCGAUUUGUUUCUUUGUUUUAAAUCCUCGUGAAAAUUGGUCAGCACUUUGGUGUGAAUUCUUCCUCCUAACACGGGCAUUUUUGUAGCAUACCCUGAUCACUAAGGGAAGUUCUCAAAGUGGCUUACUGUAUAUUUAAAACACAAUAGAACAGACAAUGAGACAACAGUCAUCACAGAGGGGCAAAAGUGUAUAUAUGUUUCUCCACCUUGUUCUCUGGUGUUCUAACAAACGCCUUUCUGCAGCUGAGUCUCCUGGCCUAGAAGUGUCUGCUGAAGCAGCUAGAUGUUAGUCCCACACGCCAGGACUUCCUCACUAGGUGGCCACUGCUCAGGUCUCUCACAGCACCUGGCUCUGGUGAAAGGUGGGGGAGAUGCUAAACACUUCCCUCCCCAUUCUCAGAUGUUUAGUUGGAGAACUGCAUCUAAAAAUUCAGAAAAGUGUACAUUUCUAAGGCUAACUGAAUUUUGGUUCACAUAUUGGUCCAAGAAAUGUACAUUAGGCACUUUCUCAAUUAAGAAAGCGAUUUCCUCCCCCAUCCCCUACCUACGAGUAGGCAAGCACUGUGUGACUUCAUGCUGUUAGCUUUCAUACUUGAAAAUAAGCCCUUUUGCUGGACUUUAUGGAAUUGGCAGAAAUGACUGGCAGAAUCCGUGACCAGGGAGAAGAGUCGGUGGAAGAAGAUUGGAAGAAAUUCAAAGAUUACUUACAGAAAUAUUGCAAAAUUAAAGAAUGUUAGAGUGAUGUUGGAUUGAAAUUAAGUGGCUUCUAGCUGCACAGGCUUUAAAGUUAUAUAUAGAUCAAGAUUAAGGAUUAGGAUUUAAAAAAGUUAAAAGAAAUGGAAAAUUGGCUUUUAAUAGGUUAAAAUUUAAUGUUAUAUUAUAUUAAGAUUAAGGAUUGGGAUUAAAAAGGAGGGAAAGGAAUUGCUGGUCAAAUAAAUUGAAUUGGAAUACAAAAGAGGGAGGUAUGAGGAGGUCCGGGAAAUAAGUAAAUGUAAAAGUUGUGAUGAAAAGAUGGAAUUGUUUUUAACUGUUUUUUUAUUUUUUAUUUUUAUAUUUUGUAUGGUGUAUUUUUCUUUUUAUUUUUAAAUUUCUUUUUUUUUAUUAAGAUGUCUCUUUUCAUGUGAAACUUCAAUAAAUAUCAUUUUUAAAAAAAAGAAAAUAAGCCCUUUUGCUUUCAGUGGGACUUACUUCUGAGUAGGCACCCAGAGAAUUGCUGUUAGUGGUCAGUUUCCAGACAGAGAGGUGCUGAGGGGGGGUCAAGCUUGAUGCAUAACAAUUUGUAUCUUUUUUUUAACCUUUGAACUCUUCCUUGAAACCAUGGGAGCUGGCUGUAUUUAUCCAGUUGUGAGGCAGAGACACUCUGUGCAUGCUUAAAGGCUACCUCUUUAUUUAACAUAUUUCUGGGGGUCUCCUUUUCAUUUUUCUCUUUAGCCGGGUUUGCCCAAAUGCCAAAGCCAGACUUACAUCUUCAUUUCCCCAGCAGAUUCCAACCGUCACCUGUUCUGUGAAACUUUUGCCUUAGCCUUUCAGUGCUAAUCCUCAGUUGAAAGAAACCCAAAGCACACAGAACAGUAGUUGCUCAUAUUCCCCUUUCUUUUCCUCGCUCUGCUGUCUUCCCUCUGCCUAGUCCAAAUGUAGAAGGUAAACUAUGCUACCAAAUAUAGACUGUAAAUUGUCCUGUUGUGGUUGUGUCCUGCAUGCUUAGAGGUUCUCACUGUCGUCUGUUUGGCCAAUGGUGAGAAGAGGGUGCUGGAGUAGAUCGCCCCUUGCUGGGAUCCAGCAAGGCUCUUCUUUUGUUCUUACUGCAAGCUGCAGAAUUAUGUGAGUAGAUCCCAUUCGUCAUCAGUGACUAGUUCCCUGUUUGCAGGGCAUUCUUUCUCCCUCUCGUUCUUCCAUGGAAAGAAGGGCUGUAUGCAUUCUUUGGGCUGCAGAACUCAUGACAAAGUAGGUUUGCAAGAAAGUGACGCAUGCAGAAAGACUGUAAUAAAAGUGAAAAAUUGCACAUAUAGAAAGGACCAGUCAAAAUGGCAGGAUUUUGAUGUGAGCAAUGCCAUAUCACGAAAGUAAUCCUAUUGCAAUGCAGUGCUUAUGUGUUACAACAUUUGUAUGUGCUGGGCAAUAUUGUACAGUCCUGGUUUUGUAUUUGUUAGUUCAUUUGUUCAUUGCCAAAAAGUUCUGGGUUCUGAUUUUGGUUUUUUAUGAUAGACUGGUAUAGCGUUAUAGCAUUAUUGUAGUAUGGUGUUAAAGCAUUAUAGCACCAUAAUAAAAAUCUGCAUUACAUCAGAAUAGUGUUACAGCACUAUACCGCUCCUUCGUUGAAUAUGUCUUGGUGAUAAUUAAAAGAUAAUUUUUAAAAAAAAUAAACUAUAAAACCACGAAGGUUACUGAAUGUGUGCUGAGUUUCAAAUUCUCUACCCACAGCAGCUAUGCCAUGCCUACCAUUUUGGACAGAACACAGCAGGAUAUACACAUAGGAAAAUCACAAUACUCCCAAUGGUGUUGCAAAUCAAUCGCAAUUCUGCCUACAAUGGAAGACCAAUGAUUGGAUAGCGCUAGGAGCCACCUGUCUGAAAGCAGCCUUCGAGCAUCAUCAUUCUACCCCCGAAGCAGAACUAAUGCUCAGAACUAGCCCAUGUUUUGGAACAGCCAUGCCUUGAACAUUAAAAGAAAAGAGAUGCUUACAGCAUCUUUUGAGUGUUAGCAUUAUAUGAUUUCCCUAAGCUGCAAGACAGCCGCAGAGAACUCCUUGGUGCUCCAACAGGGACCGAUGACAGAAGCAAUUGGACAAAGCUGCAGGAGAUACUGGAGUCCUCGUCUCCCCAUCUUGGCUUCUAUUGUCACCCCCCUCUGACGCCUUCCACUGCAGGCAAACAAAAGCACAGCAAUUAUGGCAUACUUGCAUGAAUGCUCAUAUAUCAAUAUCCACACACAGGCUCGCAUGUUUCAGCAAAAACAUUGAGGGCAGCUUCAAUAGAACAUCUUGUAAAGCAUCGUAAAGGAGCAGUAAACCACCUGGAUAAAGGCAAUUCUUAAUGCGGGGAGUUAAUGAAACAGAGAGACUAACUAGUACAGUGGCAUGACUACAGGGUGCAGAAGUGGGGAGGAGGAGGAGGAUGCUGAGUGGAAGAGCAAAAGGACCUACUCCUUUUGGUGUGUGCAACGGGAGAGUAUAGUUGAAGCCCUCUCUCACCAUUUUAAUGCCACUGCAGUUGCCAGGACAUUUGCCAUUGGGCUGCACUGCAACCCAGCUCUCAUCUCAGGGCGGUGGUAAAGAAGAGAGCAAGAAACAGCUUGGAAAGUGGAGAAGCCCUGUCAGCGUCACCCGCCUGCCGAUUUAUUUUUCUUUCUCUUUGAAAGUUCACUUAUAUGCCCACCAGCGCUUCUGGACAUGGGAAUAUUUUAAAGGUGCAUCCAGACUGCCAAG